rnacentral:rRNA from 1 species
GACGUAGGGUGCAAGCGUUGUCCGGAAUUAUUGGGCGUAAAGAGUUCGUAGGCGGUUACUUAAGUCUGGUGUUAAAGCCCGAUGCUCAACGUCGGCAUGGCAUUGGAAACUGGGUAGCUAGAGUGUGUCAGAGGUUACGGGAAUUCCUGGUGUAGCGGUGAAAUGCGUAGAUAUCAGGAGGAACACCUGUGGCGAAAGCGGCGCACUGGACCACAACUGACGUUGAGGCGCGAAAGCUAGGGGAGCAAACAGG